rnacentral:lncRNA from 13 species
AUGACCUGCAGCCCUGUCUCAUCUCAGACAAACAGACAGCCCUUUACCUCCACCUCUACCUCCAUCCCAGACCCCCCUCAAUCUCAGGACAAGGCUGUAGCCUUUACCAUGCCCCGCAUCAACGCCAGCAACAAUCUUUUUGCUGCUGUCCCCGUUCCAUGCUGUAUGGAAGUCACCAAAUCCCGCACUGAUAAGAUAAAGAGACGGCCGAGCCCUACUGACCUGGCCAUGGGGAAUAGUCAGCUGACUGAUGCCCUGUCUCAGAGUGACAGCCAUAAUAACCUCCAGGUUGAGAUGUCCAGUCUGGCUAAAAAGAAGGUGAAGUCAGUGAGAGACGUGAGAGAUGUGCGCUUCCCUGGACUUCCUGUGUUCGGCCACCAGAUGGAGCUGAAGUUUACAGAUGGUAAACAACGUUGUCUUGGUUUCAGUUCUCUAUCUUGUAUUUUACUUGUCUUUCUACUAAAUCAUGUGAUCCCCUGUAAAGCUUUGGGUAGAAGUUGUAAUUUUUCUCAGAUCUUGGAUCAUCUUCCUCACACCAAACCUUAACCAUAACUGAUAGAGGUAUUAGGAAAACACAAAUUGACCUUAGAUCAGUGUCUAGGGGCAACUUGACCUUACUCCCACUGUAAGUCAGCUCCCACGGUAAGUCAACUCCCACGUUAAGUCAGCUCCCACUGUUAGUCAGCUCCCACGGUAAGGCUGCUCCCACGGUAAGGCAGCUCCCACGGUAAGGCAGCUCCUACUGUAAGUCAGCUCCCACGGUAAGUCAGCUCCCACGGUAAGUCAAUUCCCAAAAUUGAAUCUGAUACUAGACUUGAAGACACAUAAUUUCCAAAAUGAAUCUGUCUGACUUAAUUGAAAACGAAAAUAAAUUGUCCCAAGACUGANNNNNNNNNNGGGGCCGGAGUAAUGUUACUCUGGGAUCGGGACCGGAGUAAUGUUACUCUGGGAUCGGGGCCGGAGUAAUGUUACUCUGGGAUCGGGCCGGAGUAAUGUUACUCUGGGAUCGGGACCGGAGUAAUGUUACUCUGGGAUCGGGACCGGAGUAAUGUUACUCUGGGAUCGGGACCGGAGUAAUGUUACUCUGGGAUCGGGGCCGGAGUAAUGUUACUCUGGGAUCGGGACCGGAGUAAUGUUGCUCUAGGAUUAGGGCCGUAGUAAUGUUGCUCU